rnacentral:rRNA from 1 species
GACGAACGCUGGCGGCGUGCUUAACACAUGCAAGUCGAACGAUGAAGAAGAGCUUGCUCUUCGGAUUAGUGGCGAACGGGUGAGUAACACGUGACUAGCCUGCCCCUUUCUCUGGGAUAACGCUCCGAAAGGAGUGCUAAUACCGGAUACUCACAUCGAGGCACAUGCCUUGAUGUGGAAAGUUUUUCGGAAAGGGAUGGAGUCGCGGCCUAUCAGCUUGUUGGUGAGGUAACGGCUUAUCAAGGCGAAGACGGGUAGCCGGCCUGAGAGGGGGACCGGCCACACUGGGACUGAGACACGGCCCAGACUCCUACGGGAGGCAGCAGUGGGGAAUAUUGCACAAUGGGCGAAAGCCUGAUGCAGCGACGCCGCGUGAGGGAUGAAGGUCUUCGGAUUGUAAACCUCUUUCAGUAGGGACGAAGCGAAAGUGACGGUACCUAAAGAAGAAGCACCGGCUAACUACGUGCCAGCCGCCGCCGUAA